rfam:Gossypium hirsutum cultivar TM-1 chromosome 20, whole genome shotgun sequence
AACCCAUGAUGAGGGCAUCUUCUCAAUAAGUCCUUUAAUCUCUCCCAUGCAUCAUAUAAUGUCUCUAGAUCAAUCUGAACAAAGAAAGAAAUGUCAUUCCUCAACUU